GAUGAACGCUGGCGGCGUGCCUAAUACAUGCCAGUCGAGCGAACAGACGAGGAGCUUGCUCCUCUGACGUUAGCGGCGGACGGGUGAGUAACACGUGGAUAACCUACCUAUAAGACUGGGAUAACUUCGGGAAACCGGAGCUAAUACCGGAUAAUAUAUUGAACCGCAUGGUUCAAUAGUGAAAGACGGUUUUGCUGUCACUUAUAGAUGGAUCCGCGCCGCAUUAGCUAGUUGGUAAGGUAACGGCUUACCAAGGCGACGAUGCGUAGCCGACCUGAGAGGGUGAUCGGCCACACUGGAACUGAGCCACGGUCCAGACUCCUACGGGAGGCAGCAGUAGGGAAUCUUCCGCAAUGGGCGAAAGCCUGACGGAGCAACGCCGCGUGAGUGAUGAAGGUCUUCGGAUCGUAAAACUCUGUUAUUAGGGAAGAACAAAUGUGUAAGUAACUAUGCACGUCUUGACGGUACCUAAUCAGAAAGCCACGGCUAACUACGUG
rnacentral:rRNA from 1 species